AACCUGGUUGAUCUUGCCAGUAGUCAUAUGCUUGUCUCACAGAUUAAGCCAUGCAAGUGAAAGUACAUAUGUAAAUAAUAUAUUGAAACUGCGAACGGCUCAUUAAAACAGUUAUAAUCUACUUGAUGUUUUUAAUAUAAGGAUAACUACGGAAAAUCUGUAGCUAAUACUUGUGAAAAUACCUUUUGAUAUAUACAUAUGUAUGUAUCAUUAAGGUAUGUAUUUGUUAGAUAUAAGAAUAAAAUAAAUAUAAUUGAAUUAUAACAAAGAAGAAACACAUAAAAUAUGUGUAUUAUCAAUCGAGUAUCUGACCUAUCAGCUUUUGAUGUUAGGGUAUUGACCUAACAUGGCUAUGACGGGUAACGGGGAAUUAGAGUUCGAUUCCGGAGAGGGAGCCUGAGAAAUAGCUACCACAUCUAAGGAAGGCAGCAGGCGCGUAAAUUACCCAAUUCUAAAAAAGAGAGGUAGUGACAAGAAAUAACAAUACAAUAUCGAAAAAUGAUUUUGUAAUUGGAAUGAUAGGAAUUUACAAGGUUCCUAGAGAAACAAUUGGAGGGCAAGUCUGGUGCCAGCAGCCGCGGUAAUUCCAGCUCCAAUAGCAUAUAUUAAAAUUGUUGCAGUUAAAACGUUCGUAGUUGAAUAUUAAAGAAUCCGAUGUUUCAUUUAAACUGGUUUGGGAAAACCAAAUAUAUUAUAUAUUUUGCUUUGUUCAAAAUAAGGUUUUCUAAUAAAUUAUGUUUUUAUCAGAUAUGACAGAAUCUUUUUUAAAAUCUCUUCAAUAUGCUUUUAUUGCUUUUGAGAGGUUUUGUUACUUUGAGUAAAAUUAAGUGUUCAUAACAGACGGGUAGUCAUGAUUGAGUUCAUUGUGUUUGAAUACUACAGCAUGGAAUAACAAAUAUGAAUAAGCUAAUUAUUUUUUUUUUCAUAAUUUUUUUUGAUAUUCUUAUUAGCUUAGUUACGAUUAAUAGGAGUAGCUUUGGGGGCAUUCGUAUUCAGAUGUCAGAGGUGAAAUUCUAAGAUUUUCUGGAGACGGACUACUGCGAAAGCAUUUGCCUAAUCUAUUUCCAUUAAUCAAGAACGAAAGUUAAGGGAGUGAAGACGAUCAGAUACCGUCGUAAUCUUAACCAUAAACUAUACCGACUAGGUGUUGGAUGAAUAUAAAAAAUAUAUAAAUAUGUAGCAUUUCUUAGGGAAUGUUGAUUUUAUAUUAGAAUUGCUUCCUUCAGUACCUUAUGAGAAAUCAAAGUCUUUGGGUUCUGGGGCGAGUAUUCGCGCAAGCGAGAAAGUUAAAAGAAUUGACGGAAGGGCACCACCAGGCGUGGAGCUUGCGGCUUAAUUUGACUCAACACGGGAAAACUCACUAGUUUAAGACAAGAGUAGGAUUGACAGAUUAAUAGCUCUUUCUUGAUUUCUUGGAUGGUGAUGCAUGGCCGUUUUUAGUUCGUGAAUAUGAUUUGUCUGGUUAAUUCCGAUAACGAACGAGAUCUUAACCUGCUAAUUAGCGGUAAGUACACUAUAUUUUUAUUUGAAAUUGAAUAUAGGUAAUUAUACAUGUUUAUUCAGUGUUCAAAUUAGGAUAUUUUUUUUAUUAAAAUAUUCUUUUCCCUGUUCUACUAUAAUAAUUUGUUUUUUUUUACUCUAUUUCUCUCUUCUUUUAAGAAUGUACUUGCUUGAUUAAAUAAAGCUUCUUAGAGGAACAGUGUGUAUCUAACACAAGGAAGUUUAAGGCAACAACAGGUCUGUGAUGUCCUUAGAUAAACUAGGCUGCACGCGUGCUACAAUGAUAUAUAUAACAAGUUGUUAAAAAUGUACUUAUAAAUAAGUGUGUACAAUUUUUCCUGUACUGAAAAGUAUAGGUAAUCUUUAUCAGUAUAUAUCGUAAUUGGGAUAGAUUAUUGCAAUUAUUAAUCUUGAACGAGGAAUGCCUAGUAAGCAUGAUUCAUUAGAUUGUGCUGACUACGUCCCUGCCCUUUGUACACACCGCCCGUCGCUCCUACCGAUUGAAAGAUAUGAUAAAUUGUUUGGAUAUGAAUUAAAAUAAUGAAAUUUUAUAUUUCUGAUUUUUUCUAGAAGAACUGUAAAUCCUAUCUUUUAAAGGAAGGAGAAGUCGUAACAAGGUUUCCGUAGGUGAACCUGCGGAAGGAUCAUUA
rfam:Plasmodium falciparum Palo Alto/Tganda unplaced genomic scaffold supercont1.143, whole genome shotgun sequence.